GAUGAAGAACGCAGCGAAAUGCGAUAAGUAGUGUGAAUUGCAGAAUUCAGUGAAUCAUCGAAUCUUUGAACGCACAUUGCGCCCUUUGGUAUUCCUUAGGGCAUGUCUGUUCGAGCGUCAUUUAAACCUUCAAGCUAAGCUUGGUGUUGGGUGACUGUCCGCUUCACGGCGGACUCGCCUCAAAAUUAUUGGCGGCCGGUACAUUGGCUUCGAGCGCAGCAGAAACGCGAACUCGGGCCCGUCGUAUUGGCUCCCAGAAGCUAUCUUCACAAUUUUGACCUCGGAUCAGGUAGGGAUACCCGCUGAACUUAAGCAUAUCAAUAAGCGGAGGA
rnacentral:misc_RNA from 1 species